rnacentral:rRNA from 1 species
AGCAUAUCAAUAAGCGGAGGAAAAGAAACCAACAGGGAUUACCUUAGUAACGGCGAGUGAAGCGGUAACAGCUCAAAUUUGAAAGCUGGCUCUUUUAGGGUCCGCGUUGUAAUUUGUAGAAGAUGCUUCGGGUGUGGCCCCGGUCUAAGUUCCUUGGAACAGGACGUCAUAGAGGGUGAGAAUCCCGUAUGUGACUGGGUGCUUUCGCUCAUGUGAAGCUCUUUCGACGAGUCGAGUUGUUUGGGAAUGCAGCUCAAAAUGGGUGGUAAAUUUCAUCUAAAGCUAAAUAUUGGCCAGAGACCGAUAGCGCACAAGUAGAGUGAUCGAAAGAUGAAAAGCACUUUGGAAAGAGAGUUAAACAGUACGUGAAAUUGUUGAAAGGGAAGCGCUUGCAACCAGACUUGCGCGCUGAUGAUCAUCCGGGCUUCUGCCCGGUGCACUCGUCUGCGCUCAGGCCAGCAUCGGUUUCGGUGGUGGGAUAAAGGCCUUGGGAAUGUAGCUCCUCUCGGGGAGUGUUAUAGCCCUCGGUGCAAUGCCGCCUACCGGGACCGAGGACCGCGCUUCGGCUAGGAUGC